UGACUCCGCCGCGACUGGCGUUCGGAUGGGUGACCAUCAGGGAGCGGCACCUCCUCCGUGGCGUUGCCGCGGACACUUUUCCCGCCGCACGCCUGGGCUGGAACG
rnacentral:ncRNA from 2 species